CUACGGGAGGCAGCAGUGGGGAAUCUUGCGCAAUGCGCGAAAGCGUGACGCAGCAACGCCGCGUGGGGGAAGAAGGCCUUCGGGUUGUAAACCUCUUUCAGUUGGGACGAAGCUUCGGCGGUGAAUAGCCGCCUGGAGUGACGAUACCUUCACAAGAAGCCCCGGCUAACUACGUGCCAGCAGCCGCGGUAAUACGUAGGGGGCAAGCGUUGUCCGGAAUCAUUGGGCGUAAAGCGCGUGUAGGCGGCUCGGUAAGUCCGCUCUGAAAGUCCAAGGCUCAACCUUGGGAUGCGGGUGGAUACUGCCGGGCUCGAGUCCGGAAGAGGCGAGUGGAAUUCCUGGUGUAGCGGUGAAAUGCGCAGAUAUCAGUAGGAACACCGAUGGCGAAGGCAGCUCGCUGGGACGUGACUGACGCUGAGGUGCGAAAGCGUGGGGAGCAAACAGGAUUAGAUACCCGGGUAGUCC
rnacentral:rRNA from 1 species